AAGCAGGUUAAUAUUCCUGCACCAUUGUUAAAUGCGAUGGGGGGACGGAUCGCGGAAGGUUGUCCGGGUGUUGGAAGUCCCGGUCCUUGCAUUGGAGAAGGCGCUUAGGCAAAUCCGGGCGCGGAAUUCAAGGGUGCGAGGCCAGUCGCUUAGGCGACGAAGCAAUCGGAAGUGGUUCCAAGAAAAGCCUCUAAGCUUCAGUUUAACAGGACCGUACCGCAAACCGACACAGGUGGGCAGGAUGAGAAUUCUAAGGCGCUUGAGAGAACUCGGGAGAAGGAACUCGGCAAAUUGAUACCGUAACUUCGGGAGAAGGUAUGCCCUCUAAGGUUAAGGAUUUGCUCCGUAAGCCCUGGAGGGUCGCAGAGAAUAGGUGGCUGCGACUGUUUAUUAAAAACACAGCACUC
rnacentral:rRNA from 1 species